UGGGGAAUAUUGGACAAUGGGCGAAAGCCUGAUCCAGCAAUGCCGCGUGUGUGAAGAAGGCCUUCGGGUUGUAAAGCACUAUAGGCUGGAAAGAAAAAGCUUUGGCUAAUAUCCAAAGCCUUGACGGUACCAGCAGAAUAAGCACCGGCUAACUCUGUGCCAGCAGCCGCGGUAAUACAGAGGGUGCAAGCGUUAAUCGGAUUUACUGGGCGUAAAGCGUGCGUAGGCGGCUAUUUAAGUCGGAUGUGAAAGCCCUGGGCUUAACCUGGGAACUGCAUUCGAUACUGGGUAUCUGGAGAUCGGUAGAGGGCGGCGGAAUUCCGGGUGUAGCGGUGAAAUGCGUAGAUAUCCGGAGGAACACCGAUGGCGAAGGCAACCGCCUGGGCCUGAUCUGACGCUGAGGCACGAAAGCGUGGGGAGCAAACA
rnacentral:rRNA from 1 species